CUACACAGUUUAAGAAAUAUUUUCAUUCUACAAACUUGUAAUAUUUGCAUAUGCCCAUAACGCUACCGUCUUCCCCUAAACUGACAUUCGCCAAAAUUCUGUUUAUGCUUGUUGACCAGUCGUUUGUAUUUCUCAGCCUCACAUUUUAGGAUUCAUUGCUUACUCUUUUGUUAUUGUUCUAGUGAUUCAUUUGCCGACUCACAAAUUGUCAUACCUGGGACUGCUGUGCAGCACUUGCAGGCUCAGGUGGGUGUCGUGCAGCAGCCACAAAGAUUCCGUUUCCACGGCGCUCUCACUGGAGUGAAUGCUGCAUUCCUGGAUACCUCCAGUUUGGAGAUUACACUGUGUUCUCCCCACAGAAGUGCAGACAGCUCUGCACUAUCUGCGAGGUUGCUGGAUUACCAUGGCAGAUUCCUGUAACACCAAGGCAGAAACUCUUUCUCGUAUGUUUUAUGAAACCGAAAGCUGAGUCUGAGACCUCCUCUAUAGUACCAUCCGACAACAUCAUUGUUCCUACUAUUACCACUCUGUCCUCUACGCUUAUAGAAUCUAUCCAAUCCAGUCAAACAGUGGCUCCUGCUCAGUUACCUCCGGGCAAAUUAUAUGUCACCCUACCACAUCAUGUAGAAUUACUACACUUCCUGUAUAACUAUAAAAUGGCAGGUCAUCCAGGUGUAAAAAAAAAUUACUUCUGUCAUAUCAAGACUAUUCUGGUGGCCUUCCAUGAAACAUGACAUAUCUGAUUACACUGUAGCCUGCACCACAUGUUCACAACUUAAGGUGUUCCAUUAAAUACCUAUAGGUCUCUUGCAUCCUUUGUCCAUUCCGCAUAGACCACAUUGGCAUAUCCAUGGAUUUUGUGGUUGAUGUAUCUCCCUCUAAAGGGAACACUGCUAUAUUAACCCAAAUAGACAAAUUCUCUAAAAUGGUUAAUUAUAUAGACAAAUUCUCUAAAAUUGAUAAUUUCAUUCCUCUUCCCAAAUUGCCUUCUUCCUUUAGAAUUAGUCAUUGUUUUUACCAGAGAAGUUAUCAGACUGCGUGGUAUCUCUACCCUAAUAGUGUCUGAUCGUGAUAGCCAGUUCAUAUCCAAAUUCUGGCAUGACUUUUGUUCUGAGAUGGGCAUUUAGCUGGCUUUUGCUUCCGCUUAUCAUACGUAGUCUAAUAGUGCCUUCCUGUCAAGGCCGCACUUUGACUGACAGACACUUUCCUAUUGAUACAUUCACUGACAUAUACUCACUAUAAGAUACAGUUAUUGGCACCCAUACUGUUUAACCAACACACACUUUCACUGACAGACAGACACACACACAAACACUCACUGACAGACACACACUCUUAUAUACACUGAUAAACAAUGACAUACACACUCACUGAUUUUUACACACUCUGAUAGACACUCACUCUUACACAGACUCACACUGACAUACUCACACUCACUAACAGACGCACACAAUCACUGAUUUUUACACACUAUUACGCAGGCACACACACACUCACUGACAGACUCAUACUCAUUUACAGACAUACACUCAUUGACAGACACACAUUCUCAUAUACACUGACAAACAAUGACAUACACGAAUACUCAUUGAUUGACCCACUCUGACAGACACACACACUGACAGACUCACACUCACAGGCAGACUCACACUCCCAGGCAGACACACAAUCUCUGGCAGAUGCACACACUCACUGACAGAUACAUACACUCACUGACAAACACACACACUCACUAACAGACACAGACACACACACAGACACAAACACACUCACUCACAGACACACACACACUUACAGACAAUCACACAUACACACUCACAGACACAUACACAUUAAUUCACAGACACACACACAUAUUUCCCCCAACACUCACAUAUUAUUAUAAUUUUUUAAAAUUUUCAUUUAAAUCCACCCAGCCUCUCGG